rnacentral:lncRNA from 1 species
UGAAGACAGUGACAGCAGGAAAAUGACUAGUUAAGAAACCAAUCACUUGCGGCUUCAGAACAUGAGAGAAAGAGGAGUGAGUAUUAGGCUCACUGUAUUGGUCUAGAAGCAUGGCAACCACAGAAGAGUUAAGAAUGACUCCCACACUAUAAAUUGGAGCAUUUGGACAACAGUGAAGCCACUUUAUUAUACUAAAGAAGUGAAGAGGAG